rnacentral:rRNA from 1 species
UACGUAGGGGGCUAGCGUUGUCCGGAAUCAUUGGGCGUAAAGCGCGUGUAGGCGGUCCGGUAAGUCCGCUGUGAAAGUCGGGGGCUCAACCCUCGAAUGCCGGUGGAUACUGUCGGGCUAGAGUGCGGAAGAGGCGAGUGGAAUUCCUGGUGUAGCGGUGAAAUGCGCAGGAUAUCAGGAGGAACACCAAUUGCGAAGGCAGCUCGCUGGGACGUAACUGACGCUGGAGACGCGAAAGCGUGGGGAGCAAACAGG